AUGAAGGUUACUUCCUGAGGUUGUGCUCUGCAGUUUCCUUGGAAAUAAAGAGAAGACAUUACUUUUGGAGCAACCUACAUAGAUUAUCUUCACUCAGAUGAUUUCCCUGGUUUUUCACUGAUGUGUACCAGCUGAAGUGUUCGCUUGGAAACAACUUUUGGAGCUUCUUUACCAUCGAAAGAAAGGACGUGAAUAUGGCAAAUAUGGCAAAUAUGGAAGGUAAGAUUUAUCAAAUAUAUCAGAAAGUGAAGAGAUUUCUAUUUGUAACUGUUUUUAAGGAGAAAAAUAACUGAGUUGAAAAGGCUAUGAAAUUAAGGAGGGUAUAAAAACAAUGACUAAGUUAGUAAGUCAGUUACAUCCAUGUUUUUUAUUUUGAAUUUAUCAUGGUAACC
rnacentral:lncRNA from 1 species